UACGUAGGAGGCAAGCGUUGUCCGGAAUUACUGGGCGUAAAGAGCGUGUAGGCGGCCUGGUAAGUCCGCUGUGAAAGUCCAGGGCUCAACCCUGGAAUGCCGGUGGAAACUGUCAGGCUCGAGUCCGGAAGAGGCGAGUGGAAUUCCUGGUGUAGCGGUGAAAUGCGCAGAUAAUCAGGAGGAACACCAAUGGCGAAGGCAGCUCGCUGGGACGGUACUGACACUGAGGCGCGAAAGCGUGGGGAGCGAACAGG
rnacentral:rRNA from 1 species